rnacentral:lncRNA from 1 species
CCUACCGUGUGGCUGCCUCCCGAUGUUGUUUAGUACCUGCACAGCUUGCUUUUCUCCACCAGGGAGGGAUCUCCUGGUGUUAGAAUUCACAAGAAUCAGAGGACAGAUAUCGCCUUGGCUUGUUACCCAGCUGUUGCGUAUCACCAGCACCACCUUCUGCCUGCUUCCCUGCCAGUUUACAAGCAUGUCAUCAACCACAGCAACUCAAUAGCUUCAUUCUGUGACUGGCAGGCUCAAAAUGACUGGACCUGUAAAAGUCUUGACAGCAAACAGCUAAAAGAUUUCUUUACGACUUCAGAAGGUUUGUAAAAAAUAAAUAAAUAAAAAAUUGUGAUCCA